UCUCUAUGGGGCAGCUAUGGGGCGGCUAUGGGUUCCUUAUGGGGUCCCUAUGGGGUUUCUAUGGGGUGUCUAUGGGGUCCCUAUGGGGUCUCUGUGGGGUCUCUAUGGGGCAGCUAUGGGGUGGGGUAUCUAUGGGGUCCCUAUGGGGUGGGGUGUCUACGGGUCCCUAUGGGGUCCCUAUGGGGUCUCUAUGGGGCAGCUAUGGGGUCUCUAUGGGGCAGCUAUGGGGUGUCUAUGGGGCAGCUAUGGGGUGGCUAUGGGGCAGCUAUGGGGUGUCUGUGGGGUCCCUAUGGGGUGUCUAUGGGGCAGCUAUGGGGCGGCUAUGGGUUCCUUAUGGGGUCUCUAUGGGGUUUCUAUGGGGCAGCUAUGGGGUCCCUAUGGGGUCUCUAUGGGGUCCCUAUGGGGUCCCUAUGGGGUCUCUAUGGGGCAGCUAUGGGGUGGGGUCCCUAUGGGGUCUCUAUGGGGCAGCUAUGGGGUGGGGUAUCUGUGGGGUCUCUAUGGGGUCCCUAUGGGGUCCCUAUGGGGUGGGGUGUCUAUGGGUCCCUAUGGGGUCUCUAUGGGGCAGCUAUGGGGCGGCUAUGGGUUCCUUAUGGGGUCCCUA
rnacentral:lncRNA from 1 species